GCCUCAUCUCCCUCCCAGCUGCCAGGGAGGGACGGCUCCAUGGGCAGUGCCACGGGUGCCAGCUGCCCAGCCAGGAUGCAGCUGGGAUUCCCGCAACUGCCAGUGGUCCAUGGUACCCUCAUCCGCCCACACCCUCAAGGAUCCAGUGUCCCACUUGCGGCAGCCCUGUGGCUUUGCCUGCACAGCUGAGACCUCGAAACCCAGCUAUGUGGCUCCACACCAGACCUACCUUUCUUCCCUCUGUGGCCUGGACUUUCCAGAGAACACAAGCAACAAGAAGAUCACAACCCUAAGGAGGGUUGCAACUGAGAAGGUGGCCCUUCCUGCAGCUGCCAGGCUGUUAUCUGCACAGAGCAUUGCAGCGUGAGCCACCUCAGAGAUGGCAGGGCCAGAGCCUAAAAAAGCAGCAUUGGCACAGCCGCAGGGAUGGAUUUGAGGAGCCCUGGAAUACUCCCCCAAAAAUGCCGCAGUUAGAAUACACAGCGUAUCCACCAGUAACACCAUAGUGUGAAUAAAGUCAUCCGCCUGUGCCUGAGCUGGGCUUCUGGGGGCCACGAUAGAAGAAGGAACAGGACACAGAGGGGACAGAGCACAUGAC
rnacentral:lncRNA from 1 species